rnacentral:rRNA from 1 species
UCCUACGGGACGCAGCAGUGGGGAAUAUUGCACAAUGGGGGAAACCCUGAUGCAGCAACGCCGCGUGAGUGAAGAAGUCAUUCGUGAUGUAAAGCUCUAUCAGCAGGGAAGAAAAUGACGGUACCUGAGUAAGAAGCCCCGGCUAACUACGUGCCAGCAGCCGCGGUAAUACGUAGGGGGCAAGCGUUAUCCGGAUUUACUGGGUGUAAAGGGAGCGUAGACGGCAGUGCAAGUCUGGAGUGAAAGGCGGGGGCUCAACCCCCGGACUGCUCUGGAAACUGUACGGCUGGAGUGCAGGAGAGGUA